rnacentral:lncRNA from 1 species
GAAGCUAAAUCUUAUUAUUAGCUUUUUAAUAAUCUUUUAUAGAUAAAAAGAGAAGUUGUCACAAUAGAGAUCCAAGCUAAUUUAUAGGUAGAGGUUUUAAAGGCAGUAGUUAUAACAAGCAGCCAACUUUUUCCUUGGUUUGGCUCUCAAUUUCUUUAAAAUUUGUAUAUCAAAUUUUACAUUUUGAAGUUUGUAGCUUGAGCUAAAUUCAAUGAG